GUUCAUAGCUCAGUUUGAUGAGCAUCGCACCGGUAUCGCGGAGGUCACGGGUUCGACUCCCGUUGAAGCCC
rnacentral:tRNA from 1 species